CGGCACCUUCCAAAACCCACAAAGCUUUUUACACAUUCCUUCCUUCUCUCAAAGCAUGUUCUUCUCGGAGCCAGGUUUUUCACUUACACUAUACUCUCUCACUUUUGGGGAGAAGAGUUGCAAGGAAAUCUGAUCUGCAACCCAUCCUGAACUAAGCCCGUAUGGCGAUCCUCACUCCGACUGCAGACCGCUGGGCUCGGGCUCCUCCUCCGGCCUCAGACACUGUCCAGGUCCCAGGCAGGCCUCCGCAGCCCCCCGCCUCCGCUAGAGGAAAAAAGGGGGGAGGGGCCGGAUAGUUUCCAUACCGCUACUCCCACAGAUCACCACUCACUUGUCCCACCAGGCUAUGCAGAGAGCGAAAGAUUUCGCAGAGCACCUCUUGGGAGAGAUUGGGGCUGCAGCUCCGCUCCAGACUCCUGUCACCACUGCUCGAGAGACUAAGCUCAAUGGCAGCAGCCAUGACACCUUCGCAAGCUACCCCCUCCACCACCAACUUGUGCUCGCAAGCCCCCCCUUCCUGCUUUUGUCGCCGGAAGAUGACGUGAAACCACAGCGUCUAAUUUAGAACGGGCCUUUGAGGACCCACCUCUCGUUAUGAUUGACAAGCCGAUGCACCAAUCAGGUGCAACUAUAUCGUCACGCCAAAGACUUGGAGCAGCUGGUACUGGUUAUCACUGCACUUUAUCAAAUAGCAUCCCCAUUUCAAUUGAGAAUGAAGAGGUUCUUGGAUAAAGAACUUGUAAAAAUCAGGUACAAUAAUAAAGUCAUGGAUGAUUCUUGGAAUUUGCUAAAAUGAAAUGCUGCAUCUAAGUGCGAUUUAGCAGAUGUUCUCUCUUCCUACACCAAAGGCAGCAACUUUCAUUGGUGACUACUCACAAAACUUUGUGCCUGGAAGAUGGACAUUUGGCAAGCCAUAAUAGACUGCUCCUUUCCCAGGAUGGAGCAAGGCAGCCAUUUUGACAAUACCCAAGAAAAUGACAUAGUAGUUCUGGACAGGAAUAUUACAAAAGCUCAAUGGAAAUUAAAUAAGAAGAAUUGAAACAAAGAAUUGAUCCCAACCAGGUUUAAGAAGACUCUGGGGACCGUCCUCAUCAUCAUCCUUCAAGCCUUCCCUCCGUUCUCUCAAUCUCAAACCCACAUCUUUCAUCUAGAACAGCUGCCACCCUGGGCUACUGCUGCCAGAAGAAGUGCUCUCUGCUUGCAAAAUUCUCUGUUUGGUUGUCACUGUUUGGCUGUUACCCCACUGCAAAAGAACAACUCAACAAAUGAGUUUAAACUAUUCACUUUUCAAAUAUUAGG